GUUGCAGAAUCCACAGCGACAAAGUACAAGUAUUGGGUUGUCUGGAUGCAGCUCAAGGCAGUAUAACCAUCGCCCUGGUCUCUCACAAUGUGCACAAAAUAGGCUGCCAUUGGAUAUAUCACAGACAAACUCCGACCUGAAUGAUGUAUUGGAUUCAGCGCCUAAUCAAGGUUUCGAAGAUGCAACCACACAAAGGGCCAGCAAUAAUGGGCAGCUUUUGAGAGGCAAGUCUAUUGGACAUAAUGUAUUUGUAAUGUGUCAUUUUCAGGUUAUUUUGAUGUUGCACUUAAAGAUUCUUAAUGUUCUCCUGAAGACCUCGCUAUCCAUAAGAUGACAUCGAUGCUUGCUGAAGCUCUUGUGAUUGUGAAGGAUCUAUCCAGAGAUGUCCAAUUCAUUAAGAACAAUUUGGCUCAGAGUAACAUUACACCAGGUAGCACACAAGGACCAGCAAACCUUGUACUCCCCUUCCAGCUGCCAAUUGAAAGUGAAGAAGAUUUCAGUAAAGCAGAGUCAUUACUGAUUGAAGAGACAGUGCGUCAAAAGAUGAUUGCUCGACUGGCUCUAGUAGGAGGCACCAAUUCAGCCAACAUGGUAAGAAGAAUGUUGACAACUUGUAUGAGAAAUGCCCUGGCAAGUCAGUUCAACUGGGCUGGGAAGAAACAUAGGCAUUCCCAGAGUAAAAAGCCAUUCAA